AUUUGGGGGGGGGGGCAGAGAGAGAGAGAGAUGGAGGAAGCCGAGCUGCCUGCUCUUUGCAUCUCUCUCUCUCUCUCUCUCUCUCUCUGCAGCCCUGCCUCCUCCUG